AAAACGCGAAAACGUGUUAUGACAUGCAGUCUUUGAGAAUGAAUGACUUUUUGAACGCACCGUGUACUCGUGUGUCUAGCAUGAGUAUGUUUGUUUGAGCAUGGAACGAAUUCUUUACUAUUUAGUAAUCUAUGAGGAUUAGCACUGCUAUUCUUGAAAUACAAUACGAUCACGUGUGGUUGUCACUGGAACAAACUUUCUUUGAUAAUCACACAACAUCCACUCACCAGUUAAACCUAUCUCAAAUCAAACAAGAAGACCCGCUGAACUUAA
rnacentral:misc_RNA from 1 species